AUACUUACCUGUAGGGGAGAUAUCAUGAUCAUGAAGGUGGUUUCCCAAGGCCAGGUUUAUCCACGGAACUCCAGAUGUGCUGACCCCUAUCAUUUCCCCAGAUGUGGGAAAAUCAACUGUAUCAUUUGUGGUCGUGGGGGAUUGUGCACUCACUUUCUCCUG
rnacentral:snRNA from 1 species